CGGAGGAAGGUGGGGAUGACGUCAAGUCCUCAUGGCCCUUACACGCUGGGCUACACACGUGCUACAAUGGUAGUGACAAUGGGUUAAUCCCAAAAAGCUAUCUCAGUUCGGAUUGUCGUCUGCAACUCGACGGCAUGAAGUCGGAAUCGCUAGUAAUCGCGGAUCAGCAUGCCGCGGUGAAUACGUUCCCGGGCCUUGUACACACCGCCCGUCACACCAUGGAAGUUGGCCACGCCCGAAGCCGUUACUCCAACCCUUGUGGAGGAGGACGUCGAAGGUGGGGCUGAUGACUGGGGUGAAGUCGUAACAAG
rnacentral:rRNA from 14 species